AGUUUGACUGGGGCGGUCUCCUCCCAAAGAGUAACGGAGGAGCACGAAGGUGGGCUAAUCACGGUUGGACAUCGUGAGGUUAGUGCAAUGGCAUAAGCCCGCUUGACUGCGAGAAUGACAAUUCGAGCAGGUGCGAAAGCAGGUCAUAGUGAUCCGGUGGUUCUGAAUGGAAGGGCCAUCGCUCAACGGAUAAAAGGUACUCCGGGGAUAACAGGCUGAUACCGCCCAAGAGUUCAUAUCGACGGCGGUGUUUGGCACCUCGAUGUCGGCUCAUCACAUCCUGGGGCUGAAGUCGGUCCCAAGGGUAUGGCUGUUCGCCAUUUAAAGUGGUACGCGAGCUGGGUUUAGAACGUCGUGAGACAGUUCGGUCCCUAUCUGCCGUGGGCGUUGGA
rnacentral:rRNA from 1 species